UAUCCAGUAGCAACAGUGCCUUCAAGCUGCAUGGUAAUGGCAAUAAUAUAGCGAGGAUUAUAAUAACAAUAGUACUAUCAUUAUUAGUAAAGUGCUAUGUACGAGCAACCACGUACGUGAAGUUCCCGUUUAGGUGAUAAGAAACUCUUCUUCAAAGUAAACAAACAUAACCACAAACUUCAUUUAAGUGAGAUAAGUUUCUGUUUUAUGAAAAGGUAGAAAUAUUGUUCCUUGUUCGACGUAAUUUGUCGACUUUGCGUCUAGAAGACAAUGAAAGUGAACGGAAUUAGAACCGAGACGAUCCCUGAAGGAAAUUGUGUAUUCAGAUAAUUUCUAUUCAGUGCAUAAGACAGACACGGAAAAGAUACAGAAGAUCGGAAAUUUUUACAGACGUAAUUUAUCGAAUUUGAGGAUUAUAUAACAGGCGAUAAAGCAAGUAACUCAUCAAUUGAAUCCCUUGAAUAUUUUGGGUGUCACAUGAGAAAAAAUGGUACGUACGUCAGUGAUGUAGUACCAACCAAAGCUGCAUUGUGUUUCAAGAUGAAUAUAUCAUUGUAUCGUCAGAGAUCAGCAGUGAUCAAAGUACAUGGAUCAGAAUAUGAUUAAUAAAUAAAACUGUCCCUGAAAAAAAAAGUUGAAUAUAAGUAAAUCGUUAUUAAAAGUAUAUGUACGCGACAUAUAUUUCUAUUCAAGUGAAAAUACAUCGUGAAGCUGAAUAAAAAGCCGCACGAUGUAGAUCCACCUCAAAACUCCUGACGUUCAGGACAUCCACUUCGUUCUUGUAGAUAACUAAAAAAACCAAGUCAUCCGCUUUAAACGUUUUCAACGACAAGCGAUGACCCAAGAGCAGAAGUUCCAAAUACGUUCUUCCUCUGCUAACGUAGGAAUGAGCAUAAAUUUUCACGGUUCACAUUAAGUUGUCACUAUGAAUAAAUAAUACGGAUCACACAGGCAUCUCAGCGAUCGCUUAACGACUCUCUUAUCAAAGUCAAUUCGCCGUUUGUCAGCGUCAGUGGAGGCGAAAGAAAUGUCAACAGAAAUUCAGCUUCGGACACAUGUUUCACAGCAAACCUUGCAGCCAAACAAACUGGUCCGUCCAAACCGCACGACGGUAGCAAGUCGACUGUUUAUCGGCUUGCCCGAUAAUCACUGCUGUCCAGCUGUGGCGACUCUCUCCCAUGGCAAUUCUAUGGCUGGACGGAACCGUGCUAGUUAUUCACGAGCCAACAGUUAUCACUCUCCUCAAGUGAUAAUCCCAGAUGCCAGGAGAAGAUAAAACGUUUGCACAGAAUCUCCCCGGUUCUUCAUGCGAGAAUACGCAAAUUCCCACGUGACUGCACCAGUGGCGCAGUUUCACAAAAAUUUCUGCCCAAUUAUUUUAAGUCACGGACCACCGCGUUUAUACUGGCCUUUUUGCUUUCAAAGAGAUUAAUAAUGACGAACACUGGUCUUGAAGUUUGCAACCACACGGCAUCAAACAGGUCCAAGUCUUAAUGAAGUAAACCUACGUGGGCUUCGUCAGAGUGGGGUACUCUUGCCUGAACCACCGCAAUUUCCGCACGUAUAACUGCGACCACCCCCAGAGUAUGACAUCGGAGGAGAUGGUGUGAACAUGUAGUUAUAGGACGAUGACGAAGUACUGCGACGGCCGCAAG